GAUGAACGCUGGCGGCGUGCUUAAUACAUGCUAGUCGAACGAAGACAGUAGCAAUAUUGUCUGAGUGGCGAACGGGUGAGUAACGCGUUGGUGACCUGCCCCGAAGAGAGGGAUAACAGUCCGAAAGGAUUGCUAAUACCCCAUGUGGUCGUUUGGAUUAGAUGCCUUAUGACUAAACGGAUUUAUUCGCUUCGGGAGGGGCCUGCGUCCCAUCAGCUAGUUGGUAGGGUAAUGGCCUACCAAGGCGAUGACGGGUAGGGGACCUGAGAGGGUGGCCCCCCACAACGGAACUGAAACACGGUCCAUACACCUACGGGUGGCAGCAGUAGGGAAUAUUGGUUAAUCUGGGAAACCGGGAACCAGCAACGCCGCGUGCACGAUGAAGGCCUUCGGGUUGUAAAGUGCUUUUUGAAAGGAUGAGGAAGGACAGUACUUUCAGAAUAAGCUUCGGCUAACUACGUGCCAGCCGCCGCCGUGAAAC
rnacentral:rRNA from 1 species